rnacentral:tRNA from 1 species
AACAUAAUUAGUAUAAAAAUUACGUUAGAUUUAGAAUCUAAAGAGCGAUUUAUGUUGU